rnacentral:rRNA from 1 species
UACGAAGGGUGCAAACGUUGCUCGGAAUUAUUGGGCGUAAAGCGCACGUAGGCGGCUUUGCAAGUCGGAUGUUAAAUCCCUCGGCUCAACCAAGGAAGUGCAUCCGAAACUGCAGAGCUUGAGUACUUAAGAGGAUCGCGGAAUUCCCGGUGUAGAGGUGAAAUUCGUAGAUAUCGGGAGGAACACCAGUGGCGAAGGCGGCGAUCUGGGAAGAUACUGACGCUGAGGUGCGAAAGCGUGGGGAGCAAACAGG